GUCGAGCGGACAGAUGGGAGCUUGCUCCCUGAUGUUAGCGGCGGACGGGUGAGUAACACGUGGGUAACCUGCCUGUAAGACUGGGAUAACUCCGGGAAACCGGGGCUAAUACCGGAUGGUUGUUUGAACCGCAUGGUUCAAACAUAAAAGGUGGCUUCGGCUACCACUUACAGAUGGACCCGCGGCGCAUUAGCUAGUUGGUGAGGUAACGGCUCACCAAGGCGACGAUGCGUAGCCGACCUGAGAGGGUGAUCGGCCACACUGGGACUGAGACACGGCCCAGACUCCUACGGGAGGCAGCAGUAGGGAAUCUUCCGCAAUGGACGAAAGUCUGACGGAGCAACGCCGCGUGAGUGAUGAAGGUUUUCGGAUCGUAAAGCUCUGUUGUUAGGGAAGAACAAGUACCGUUCGAAUAGGGCGGUACCUUGACGGUACCUAACCAGAAAGCCACGGCUAACUACGUGCCAGCAGCCGCGGUAAUACGUAGGUGGCAAGCGUUGUCCGGAAUUAUUGGGCGUAAAGGGCUCGCAGGCGGUUUCUUAAGUCUGAUGUGAAAGCCCCCGGCUCAACCGGGGAGGGUCAUUGGAAACUGGGGAACUUGAGUGCAGAAGAGGAGAGUGGAAUUCCACGUGUAGCGGUGAAAUGCGUAGAGAUGUGGAGGAACACCAGUGGCGAAGGCGACUCUCUGGUCUGUAACUGACGCUGAGGAGCGAAAGCGUGGGGAGCGAACAGGAUUAGAUACCCUGGUAGUCCACGCCGUAAACGAUGAGUGCUAAGUGUUAGGGGGUUUCCGCCCCUUAGUGCUGCAGCUAACGCAUUAAGCACUCCGCCUGGGGAGUACGGUCGCAAGACUGAAACUCAAAGGAAUUGACGGGUGCCCGCACCAACGGUGGAGCAUGUGGUUUAAUUCGAAGCAACGCGAAGAACCUUACCAGGUCUUGACAUCCUCUGACAAUCCUAGAGAUAGGACGUCCCCUUCGGGGGCAGAGUGACAGGUGGUGCAUGGUUGUCGUCAGCUCGUGUCGUGAGAUGUUGGGUUAAGUCCCGCAACGAGCGCAACCCUUGAUCUUAGUUGCCAGCAUUCAGUUGGGCACUCUAAGGUGACUGCCGGUGACAAACCGGAGGAAGGUGGGGAUGACGUCAAAUCAUCAUGCCCCUUAUGACCUGGGCUACACACGUGCUACAAUGGACAGAACAAAGGGCAGCGAAACCGCGAGGUUAAGCCAAUCCCACAAAUCUGUUCUCAGUUCGGAUCGCAGUCUGCAACUCGACUGCGUGAAGC
rnacentral:rRNA from 1 species